AAGCGGAGGAAAAGAAACCAACAGGGAUUGCCUCAGUAACGGCGAGUGAAGCGGCAAAAGCUCAAAUUUGAAACCCUCGGGAUUGUAAUUUGAAGAUUUGGCAUUGGAGAAAGCUAACCCAAGUUACUUGGAAUAGUACGUCAUAGAGGGUGACAACCCCGUCUGGCUAACCGUUCUCCAUGUAUUGCCUUAUCAAAGAGUCGAGUUGUUUGGGAAUGCAGCUCAAAGUGGGUGGUAAACUCCAUCUAAAGCUAAAUACUGGUGAGAGACCGAUAGCGAACAAGUACUGUGAAGGAAAGGUGAAAAGAACUUUGAAAAGAGAGUGAAAUAGUAUGUGAAAUUGUUGAUAGGGAAGGAAAUGAGUGGAGAGUGGUUUAGGUUUCAGCCUUCUUUCGAGGGGGUGCACUACCAACGCCGAGUCAUUGAUAGCGAGACAGGGGUUAUAAACGGACGGCACUUGUGCUAUUCUCCUAACCCCUCUACUGCCACCAACGACAUAAUCCACCCAUUUCACCCGUCUUGAAACACGGGACCAA
rnacentral:rRNA from 1 species